UUUGCCGUGAGGUAUGCAGUGAAGUAAGCCAGACUGCGGUAUGUGUACUGACGAACAGAAACUACAUACUGAGGCCAUGAGGUCGGAUGAGGUAACACAUGCUGCCGAAGUCCAAAGCUCCGUUUGAUUCAUCAAGUGGAGAGCGUACCGAAAUAGUAGAUGUAGCAGAGAUACAUACAAGGAUAUUCAU
rnacentral:ncRNA from 1 species